rnacentral:misc_RNA from 1 species
GAUGAAGAACGUAGUGAAAUGCGAUAAGUAGUGUGAAUUGCAGAAUUCAGUGAAUCAUCGAAUCUUUGAACGCACAUUGCGCCCCUUGGUAUUCCAUGGGGCAUGCCUGUUCGAGCGUCAUUUGAACCCUCAAGCUCUGCUUGGUGUUUGGUGUUUGUCCCGCCAUUGCGCGUGGACUCGCCUUAAAGCAAUUGGCAGCCAUGUAAUCCGGCUUUGAGCGCAGCACAUUGCGUACUCUCUACUGGGACAUGGGCAUCCAGAAGCCUUAUUUUUUUUUACUCUUGACCUCGGAUCAGGUAGGGAUACCCGCUGAACUUAAGCAUAUCAAUAAGCGGAGGA